UACAGAGGGUGCGAGCGUUGUCCGGAAUCACUGGGCGUAAAGGGCGCGUAGGUGGCGCUCCAAGUCUGUGGUGAAAGCUCGAUGCUUAACAUCGAGUCGGCCACGGAGACUGGAGGGCUCGAGCACUGUAGGGGCAGAUGGAAUUCCGGGUGUAGCGGUGGAAUGCGUAGAGAGUCCGGAAGAACACCGGUGGCGAAGGCGGUCUG
rnacentral:rRNA from 1 species